UACAGAGGUCCCAAGCGUUGUUCGGAUUCACUGGGCGUAAAGGGUGCGUAGGCGGUCGGGUAAGUCUGAUGUGAAAUCUCACAGCUUAACUGUGAAACUGCAUUGGAUACUAUUCGGCUUGAGAGUUGGAGGGGGGACUGGAAUUCUUGGUGUAGCAGUGAAAUGCGUAGAUAUCAAGAGGAACACCAGUGGCGAAGGCGAGUCCCUGGACAACUUCUGACGCUGAGGCACGAAAGCUAGGGGAGCAAUCCGG
rnacentral:rRNA from 1 species